rnacentral:rRNA from 1 species
UACGGAGGAUGCGAGCGUUAUCCGGAUUUAUUGGGUUUAAAGGGUGCGUAGGCGGGAGAUCAAGUCAGCGGUAAAAAUGCGGGGCACAACCCCGUCGAGCCGUUGAAACUGGUUUUCUUGAGUGGGCGAGAGGUAUGCGGAAUGCGCGGUGUAGCGGUGAAAUGCAUAGAUAUCGCGCAGAACCCCGAUUGCGAAGGCAGCGUGCCGUGCCGCCACUGACGCUGAGGCACGAAAGCGCGGGGAUCGAACAGG